GCUGGUAGAUCGAAAAUACUUGUUAUUUUUUUAUAUUCACCUUUCCAUUCUGACAAUAUCGGAUAGACAGUUUUUAUGGGGUGUAGACCUUCCAAAUCCAAAAGGUAAUGAAGGCGUGCAAAGGUUUCCUCAGGUCAGAUGGAGAUUGACCCUCGAGUGCAAAAUAGAAGGGAGCUUGACUAUAAGAUCCAUCCGUCAAGAAGGGUUAAAAGUUGGCCUUAGUGAUCCGACGCUGUCGAGUGGAAGGGCCGUCAGUUCUUG
rnacentral:ncRNA from 1 species